rnacentral:rRNA from 1 species
GAUGAACGCUAGCUACAGGCUUAACACAUGCAAGUCGCGGGGCAGCAUGGGGGUUGCUUGCAAUCCCCGAUGGCGACCGGCGCACGGGUGAGUAACGCGUAUCCAACCUGCCCUUCACCACGGGAUAACCCGGCGAAAGUCGGACUAAUACCGUAUGUUGUCCAUUGACGGCAUCCGAUUUGGACGAAAGGUUUGGCGGUGAAGGAUGGGGAUGCGUCCGAUUAGCUGGACGGCGGGGUGACGGCCCACCGUGGCGACGAUCGGUAGGGGUUCUGAGAGGAAGGUCCCCCACACUGGAACUGAGACACGGUCCAGACUCCUACGGGAGGCAGCAGUGAGGAAUAUUGGUCAAUGGGCGUAAGCCUGAACCAGCCAAGUAGCGUGCAGGAUGACGGCCCUAUGGGUUGUAAACUGCUUUUAUGCGGGGAUAAAGUGGCCCACGUGUGGGUUUUUGCAGGUACCGCAUGAAUAAAGACCGGCUAAUUCCGU